rnacentral:lncRNA from 1 species
CAGGUUCCGAUCGCGAGUUGAGACACAUUAGUGGAUUGUAUUUGUACCAAAUGCGUGAAAGAAAUUGUUCUUCUUAUGGAUAUCAAGAAGGGCGCAGUAAAGACUGCCAUGUUACCCUCCUAAUCUUGCAGGACUGCCACCUUCUCGUCUACAAUUAUAUAUGAACGAGUCAUAGACUCUAACCUGUAUAUAAAAAAAAAUGACAUCCACGCCAUAAGUUUAGUACAUUAACUAGUUGGGACUUGUUAAUCACGUUUGAAUUGAACAACCGUUUCUUUGGUAGGGUAAGAUUCUGCCAGAAACAACAACCUGCUUCUUUAAAACCUUAAGAUUAUUAAUGUAAUGUAUAUACCAAAAGACUGGAAACCGUUCAAAACAUAAGCCUUAUUUAGCAGUUCUUAAUUUGAAGCACAACACUAUAAGAAAAUACUACCAACCUCAUAAGUUGCAUUCUUCUUAGUAUCUGAUAACGAAGCGUUUCCAAGUCUGAGGUCUUGUAAAUCCUUAAGUUUGUAACUGCCCAAAAAUUAUAUUCUCAUAUUUCUUGGAUCAAGUAAAGAUCACAAGCUAAACUAGUUCAAAUCACACCCAUUUCAUAACAACAAACAGUCCUAGAUUAAAAUAUUACUAUUCUCAAUAAAAUUUCAGAAGUCCUAUAGAUUUUAACAAGAAUUUUGUAAAUACUCCAUCCUUCACUGGUUAGUAUAUCCAAUUGAAUUUGUUUUGAGAAAGAGUGAAGUAUCAUAUAUACCUCAUGAUUAUUACACUUGUUUGUUUCUACAUUGAUGCCCAUAAUGCAAUUGCCUGAAAAGACUCAUUCAGGUUUAAUUAAAAAGGAAUGAACCUCAUCACCAUAGUGCAACAUAAAUUUGGAGCAUAUGCUUACAAAUGAUUGUGCUAAUGCAUCUCAUAAUUUCACCCUUAUAAGUUGUUGGAAUAUUUAUACUGUAUGUUUGAGAAGUUUUCCUACUAUCUCAGCAAAUUCAUUGGAUAGCGUCUACAAGUGUUUAGGAGUUAUGGCUUUAUCCUAAUUGUUGUAUUGAAGUUUUAGAAAUAAAGGGAUGGUAAUAUUUUAACAACCAACUCUUUUUCACCUAUUUGCAUGCUUCCUUCAUUGCUAGCUGCCACAAGAAGUGCAAAAAAUAUAUAGAAAGCAAAGAUGCAUUUCCAUAUGACUAUUUAUUUAGUAAGUUACACAUCAAAUGAAUACAGAUACUCAACCUAUAUCCACUCAACUGAUCAUCAAGUUUGGGUGAAAAUUGUGCCUCGC